AUUGAACGCUGGCGGCAGGCCUAACACAUGCAAGUCGAACGAGUGGCGGACGGGUGAGUAAUGUCUGGGAAACUGCCUGAUGGAGGGGGAUCACUACUGGAAACGGUAGCUAAUACCGCAUACCAUCGGAUUUGCCAAGAUGGGAUUGGCUAGUAGGUGGGGUAAAGGCUCACUUAGGCGCCGAUCCGUAGCUGGUCUGAGAGGAUGACCAGCCACACUGGAACGGAGACACGGCCCAGACGCCUACGGGAGGCAGCAGUGGGGAAUAGUGCACAAUGGGCGCAAGCCUGAUGCAGCCAUGCCGCGUGUAUGAAGAAGGCCUUCGGGUUGUAAAGUACUGUCAGCGGGGAGGCGUUACCCGCAGAAGAAGCACCGGCUAACUCCGUGCCAGCAGCCGCGGUAAUUC
rnacentral:rRNA from 1 species